rnacentral:rRNA from 1 species
AGUGGCGAACGGGUGAGUAACACGUGGGCAAUCUGCCCUUCACUCUGGGACAAGCCCUGGAAACGGGGUCUAAUACCGGAUACCACUCCUGCCCGCAUGGGUAGGGGUUGAAAGCUCCGGCGGUGAAGGAUGAGCCCGCGGCCUAUCAGCUUGUUGGUGGGGUAAUGGCCCACCAAGGCGACGACGGGUAGCCGGCCUGAGAGGGCGACCGGCCACACUGGGACUGAGACACGGCCCAGACUCCUACGGGAGGCAGCAGUGGGGAAUAUUGCACAAUGGGCGAAAGCCUGAUGCAGCGACGCCGCGUGAGGGAUGACGGCCUUCGGGUUGUAAACCUCUUUCAGCAGGGAAGAAGCGAAAGUGACGGUACCUGCAGAAGAAGCGCCGGCUAACUACGUGCCAGCAGCCGCGGUAAUACGUAGGGCGCAAGCGUUGUCCGGAAUUAUUGGGCGUAAAGAGCUCGUAGGCGGCUUGUCGCGUCGGAUGUGAAAGCCCGGGGCUUAACCCCGGGUCUGCAUUCGAUACGGGCAGGCUAGAGUGUGGUAGGGGAGA